rnacentral:lncRNA from 1 species
AGGUUGAGAAGCGCCGGCCCCGUCGGAUGUCACGGGCUCGCUGCGCUGGAGCGGCGCUCCGCCAAACUGCGGCUCCGGCCGCCUCUGCCGGCUUGUUUCUUGUUAAAGGAAGGGUUUCGGCCACCCCUCCUGCCCCCAGUGGGUGUUGGCUAUUUGUCCUGAAAAUAGAUUGUGACAACACUCGAAAUUUGAAAAUGAGGGUGCAUGUGACAGCACGGACCCAACAUGCUCCUUUUGCUGUAGUGGAUCCCACUGCCUGUAUGAAAGCGGUCUGUGUUUCCCAGGAAGGACUCACGAAGGCAACGUCCAGGGAAAUUUUUGUACUGCUGGUUCAUCUGUUCACUUUUCUCAGCACUUUUAUUAGAUGAGGAGACUAGGGCUCACUCCCAGAGAGGAGGUGAGCAACACACCUUUCCUUCUGUAAGGCAGUGUGGGAUCCUGCUGGGAAAACCCAGGUUCCCAGGGGUAAAGCUCGGUGCACAAGCUGGUGAGCUGAGAGGGAUUCAGGACAUCUUGCAGCCCCUUAGGAAGGGCGUCUGGAAGCUGGGAGGAAGUGCAGGAGCCCUCCGGCGAGUGAAGGACGUUUCCUAAGCGGGUACUUAUCCCGCAGGUGGUGGGGGAGGAGAGCAGCCACUUCCCACAGACAUUCACUUCCCUGUCUCUGAGCCUGUUUGGGUGUAGCUCCUGUCGCUGUGUCCAGAAGAACUCUGUAGCCUCGGCUUCCUGUUUUGACAAUGAGAGAGGGAAGUGUCCCAUUACACGGUUAUUGCUAAAGAAUGAACUCUUCCAUCCGAAGUGUCCCCGGCUUCUCUCGAAGAUAGGAAGAGAUGGUGCACAUUUAGCAACAGACUGUGUCAAACUCUGGAGCAGCUCUUGGGUGUUUCUGCUCCUCUGAUUCUCAAACGUGUAUCACCUUUACGUUUUUAAUCUGAAAUAGGAGUUACUGCGAUAAACUGCUGUUAUAACAGCUGGAAGCAUUCGGGCAUCUGCAUUUAAAGGAGUCUGAGGACAGGGACACACAGCAAACCUUCCAGUACUUCCCUCUUAAGUUACCUUUUUCUGGAGGUAAAUUCCCUUGUGUGGGUGGGAAGCUAAUGCCCUCCUUGAGAAGUCAUCACACCUUGUUAAGUUUAAGUGGUCCACUUUUUUCCAGAAGUGCUUUCCAGAGUUGUAUACUACUUGUGCCUGGAAAAGCCUCUUCCUCGUGGAUGUGAAUGCUUUACUGUGGGAUUCAGCUAAUGCUAUCAGACCUACAAAAGUUACAGCAUCACUCAUCAACUCGAUGAGGCUGAAAAAGACUAACUCUCCUUCCAGGGGACACAUGCAGUGACUGCUUUCAGAUAUUCCUGCCAUCUGAAAGGGCAAGUUUCCCAAAAGGAUUUUAGGACUUUGGAUGAGAGCUGGGUACCUAAAUCUCUGGAGGAGUGCAAAGGCUCUGUAUUCUACAACCACUGCAGGCUGAGACACACACAUUUAUAGAGUUAAACAAGUAUUUUAGACCUACCGGCAGGAUUUUGGAUUUUUCGCUGCCAAGAAGCCUUCGCAGUAUGGCCGCGGUCCAAAACUCUAAGGUAACACGUAAUUUCACUCGAGUUUUCGCCGUCAGAUCUUCAAAAACGCUACGAGUCCAGGUUUUUGAGUAUCGUGUAAGUCACCAGCUUUCCCUGCUCAUGAUGGACAUCUGGUGGCAAAGGGGAGAAACUCGGGUGUGUUCCUCGAAGUUUCCCUCGCUGGCAAGUUAGCAAUAAAAUACUUUUUUCUUUGUUUCUCGAACA